UAUUCCACAAUGGGGGAAACCCUGAUGGAGCGAUGCCGCGUGCAGGAAGACGCUUUUCGGAGUGUAAACUGCUUUUAAUAGGGAAGAUUAUGACGGUACCUAUAGAAAAAGGACCGGCUAACUACGUGCCAGCAGCCGCGGUAAUACGUAGGGUCCAAGCGUUAUUCGGAAUUACUGGGCGUAAAGCGUACGUAGGCGGUUUGGUAAGUUGGAUGUGAAAUCCCCCUGCUCAACGGGGUGGACUGUGUCCAAAACUACCUAACUAGAGCAUAGUAGAGGCAAGUGGAAUUUGCGGUGUAGGAGUGACAUCCGUAGAUAUCGCAAGGAACACCAAUGGCGAAGGCAGCUUGCUGGGCUAUUGCUGACGCUCAGGUACGAAAGCGUGGGGAGCGAACGGG
rnacentral:rRNA from 1 species